UACGUAGGUUGCGAGCGUUAUUCGGAUUUACUGGGCGUAAAGAGCACCGAGGUGGCUUCUUAAGUUGGAUGUGAAAUCUCCUGGCUUAACCGGGAGGCGCCAUUCAAAACUGGGGAGCUUGAGGUCAGCAGGGGAAGGUGGAAUUCCUGGUGUAGCGGUGGAAUGCGCAGAUAUCAGGAGGAACACCGGUGGCGAAGGCGGGUCUCUGGGCAGUAACUGACGCUGAGGAGCGAAAGCGUGGGGAGCGAACAGG
rnacentral:rRNA from 1 species